CAAAUUGUUCACUUUUUAUUAAAUUAUUAUUUUAAUAUUUUUAAAAUUUCCAUCAUAAGAAUGAUAUUAUUUGAAAAUCAAUUGAGAUUUUUACGUUUUUCGCCAAAUGUUGUAAUGCCUUUGACUGUCACUAAAAGCAAUCCUCGUGAUUUUCUUUUUCCCACCGGGUUUUCCCAUCUGGUUUGAAUCGUCAUCUCCAAAAAUUGUGAAAUUGGACACCUUGAGUACAUUCUAACCCUUUCUUAGAACUCUCCUUUACAUUGUUUCCCGAUCGAAAUGUAGGACCAGAGUCAGAUCACACCAGCUCGUUUUAAUCUUAAAUGGAUAUUGCAUGUAAUGUCAACCCUUACAGUAACCCGAAACAACGCUAAUUAAACGGGAUAUGCACCGAGGGCUCAACUGGCGGCGCAUUGGAUGUAGGAAGCGGUCGUAUUUCCCCCCUGCUGCAGAAGGUAGAGGUUACAAAUCUGUGGGAACGUCUCAGAGGAAAGAGGGGGCGGGAGGAAAGGGAAGGGGUACGGGAGAAAGGCAGGCAGCUAGGGUGUUUCCUUAACUUCAAGGAAGAGUUUAAUCAAGUUAAUAGCUUAUUGUGGGCUAUUAAAACGAUACACCACUGGGAAACCGUACGUUAUCAAAUUUUAAAAGACACAAACAACUGAAGGAGACCGCGAUGUUGGGAAUAGGAAAACUGCACCACGGUCUGGAAUAGGGUGAAGGAUGGAGGGAGAGACGGAGAAAGAGACAGCGGAGGAGAAGGAGAGUGAUGAGACACAGCCGUUUGCUGGGGAAGGGGCAGGGCGACUUCAUCAGAAUGGAGAGUCCUCCGAGGACGACCAGGACCUACCCAUCAUGCACUGGGAAGACCUGAGCCUGAGGAUCGCUGAACUGGAGAAACAGGAGGAGGCGAGGAGAGAAAGGGCAAAGAGUACGAGUGGGUCGGAACAGGGGAGUGUGUCAGGGGGCUGGGCGGAAGAGAGGCAGGGUGGGCUGUGGAGGAAAGAUGAAUGGGAGGAUGAGGAGGACUACGGAAGAUGUCGAGUCACGGUCGUCUCGUCUAGAUUCCACAACCAAAGAAAUCUACAGUUAUGCUACAUCAACAACAGUGAGAGUGAGGAUGAAGAGGGGGCUGUCAAAGAGGGUUCUAUAGGACCAGGUAGCUAUGGUUACCACCCCUCUGGCCUGAAGUUGGAAGUGAGGGCCGCACUGAGCGCGCUCAAAAACAAGCUGUUAGCUGAACAGAAAGAGGAGCACCUUGCCUGCAGUAGUGUGAUCACUAAGAGGACGCAUCUGGAACACUGUGACCUGCAGACCUGCUCAAUACAGCAGCUCAACUCCCUCAGGACCUCACUCAACCACGACAUACACGACCUGAGCUCAGAGUUGGUGGGUCACCUGUUGAUAAGGGACCAGCUGAGAACCAAACAGGACGCCAUGCUCCUGGACGUACAGGAUCUGACAUAACCCUCACCCACAUGUGCACAGGACAGGAAGUCAUUGUGCUCAACAGUGGAUAAAGUGAUGCUGUCCAAGAUAUGCCACUAUGAGACAGUCAGAAGUGUUGCAAUAAUAUCCUACUUAACAUAUGAUUCUUUGAUAAAAAGGAGAAAUAUUGAUGAUGAACACUAAUGAGCACCAUCUUGGACCGGCGUCAUAAUGCAAUCCACAUUACACAGGCAGGGUAUGGAUGCUCAGCUAUGAAAAGCCAACUGACAUUUACUCCUGAGGUACUGACCUGUUGCACCCUCUACAACCACUGUGAUUAUUAUUAUUUGACCCUGCUGGUCAUCUAUGAAUGUUUGAACAUCUUGAAGAACAAUCUGGCCUUAAUGGCCAUGUACUGUUAUAAUCUCCACCCGGCACAGCCAGAAGAGGACUGGCCACCCCUCAGAGCCUGGUUCCUCUGUAUGUUUCUUCCUAGGUUCCUGCCUUUCUAUGGAGUUUUUCCUGGCCACUGUGCUUCUACACCUGCAUUGCUUGCUGUUUGGGGUUUUAGGCUGUGUUUCUGUAUAGCACUUUGUAACAUCUACUGAUGUAAAAAGGGCUUUAUAAAUACAAUUGAUGGAUAACUUUCUCCUCAUCAUCCCCACCUGAUCUUGAACAGCAUAAUCUUCAUUAUCAUCAUUAGUGGAGAGAGUACUGUAUUAGGACCUAUUUUGAUGUACGCAUGCACUUAAUUAACAAAAAAGAUUUCAUAUCAGAAAGAGGAGUUUAAGCCAUUUGUGAUGUUUGAAACAUCUCUAAUAUCUGACUCCUAGUCUAUUGCCGGUGGUAAGAAAAAUUGUAUUUAUCUUGGGAGAACCUUCAGACGGAGAAUCUUCACAGCCAUAGUUAAAACAUUUACAUAUCUGAGGAAUACCAGCUUUUCCACAAGUUUUAUUGUGUAAACAUUGCAAUAUCCAUGACUUAUUAAUAUAAGGGAAUUGUACACUUACAGCCUGUGUAAAACAAGCUAAGGGGUUUCAUAUUCAGGCUAAAGGGAACUGUCCUGUAACAAUUUGGUAGAGAAGGUUCUUUGUUUCUAAUUUAGGAUAAUUAUCCUCUUGUAUAGUUGCUGAUGUAAGAGAAUUGUCCACUUAUAUUGCCUAUAAGCCUGUGGGUAUUGACAUUUAUGUUGACUCUUGUGAUAUACCUAGGUGGUUUGCGGCCAUAACUAUAACUACCACCAGCAUAGGAAACCACAAAGCUGCUAUUGGGUGAUUCCAUGUGAGCAAAGCCCAAAAAUAAUUUUGUAUCGCAGAUUGUUCUGGCAAUUAUCACAUAGAAACGUCAUUGGGAAGAUGGAUGUUUGAUAGGCUUUUUACAUUUGUAACACACCAUUUUUUGGAAAAUGAUUAAAGUGGGCUCUCUGCUACUUUUAGUUAUAAACAAUUUUAUGAGCAUCAUCAACACAGUGAAUAGAAAAAUGGAUUCAAAUGGAACUUUGAUAGGUCCUUCCUUAACCAAUAUCAAUUUCUAUGUAUUCUUCAAAAUUAGCAGAGCCCACCUUCGAAAUAUGUGUUUGAAGAGUAUAUUGUUCUAAACAAGAUGUCUAAAAAUAAUCAAAAUCAAAAAGGGUACUUUUGAGAUGUUCAUAAUGUUUUUAAUAUUGAAUAAAUUAAUGCGAUUUUUUUUUUUUUACAUUUUUUUUUUUAGAAUACAGCCAUACUCCAUAUUUUAAAGCAUACUAUAAGGAGUAUAAUGACACCAAGAUGUCUGUACGGUUCACGGAUUAUAUGGUCUAAAAGAGCCUAAAAUGGCCACAUUCAUCAUGAUUUUCCCCAAAAAUUGUUUGUGAUACAAAUGUAUCAAGCAUGUUAAACAUCCUUCCUCUCAAUUAAGUUUGUAUGUGAGAAUUGCCAGAGAAAUCUGAGAUACCCUAAAAAAAAAUUGGGCCAUGCUGGUGUGGAAUUGCCUUAUUCCAUUCAUUAUGUCUAGGUAAAGAGAUUUUCCUGACCAUGUGACCUCACCAGUAGCAAACACCAGGCUCUAGUUACUGACCCCCUCUUUCCUGUUCAAGUCAUAUGGUCAGGAAAAACUCCUGGCCAUUUGAACUAUUGUGCCUUGUCAAGCAAUUAUUAUAUAUCGUACUUUCACAAUCGUGUGUAUUUGUAGGUUGAUGGAAGAAUUAACUGUGAUAGCAGAUUCAUAGCUAUGGGAAAGGGAUGAGUGCUCUGAAGUAACAUUUAACUUUUUUGGUCUCUGAAGUAUUUUUUUCAGUAUUUACUUAAAAAAUAAUUUUGCAUUCAAUAAACCUUAGUUAUUUCAUGUUGUGUGCUGUCACUGUGUGUGUGUGUCUGUGAUGCUGCUAUUUCAAAUCAAAGUUUAUUUGUCACGUGAGCAGUGAAAUGCUUACUUACAGGCUCUAACCAAUAGUGCAAAAAAUGUGUUAGGUGAACAAUAGGUAAGUAAAGAAAUAAAACAACAGUAAAAAGACAGGCUAUAUACAGUAGCGAGGCUACAUACAGACACAGGUUAGUCAGUCUGAUUGAGGUAGUAUGUACAUGUAGAUAUGGUUAAAGUGACUAUGCAUAUAUGAUGAACAGAGAGUAGCAGUAGCGUAAAAGGGGGUGGUGGGACACAAUGCAGAUAGCGCGGUUAGCCAAUGCGCGGGAGCACUGGUUGGUCAGCCAAAUUGAGGUAGUAUGUACAUGAAUGUAUAGUUAAAGUGACUAUGUGUAUAUGAUAAACAGAGAGUAGCAGCAGCGUAAAAAGAGGGGUUGGGGGGGCAGACAAUGCAAAUAGUCCGGGUAGCCAUUUGAUUACCUGUUCAGGAGUCUUAUGGCUUGGGGGUAAAAACUGAGAAGCCUUUUUGUCCUAGACUUGGCACUCCGGUACUGCUUGCCAUGCGGUAGUAGAGAGAACAGUCUAUGACUGGGGUGGCUGGGGUCUUUGACAAUUUUUAGGGCCUUCCUCUGACACCGCCUGGUGUAGAGGUCCUGGAUGGCAGGCAGCUUAGCCCCAGUGAUGUACUGGGCCGCACGCACUGUAGUGCCUUGCGGUCAGAGGCCGAGCAAUUGCCGUACCAGUCAGUGAUGCAACCAGUCAGGAUGCUCUCGAUGUUGCAGCUGUAGAACCUUUUGAGGAUCUCAGGACCCAUGCCAAAUCUUUUUAGUUUCCUGAGGGGCAAUAGGCUUUGUCGUGCCCUCUUCACGACUGGCUUGGUGUGUUUGGACCAUUCUAGUUUGUUGUUGAUGUGAACACCGAGGAACUUGAAGCUCUCAACCUGCUCC
rnacentral:lncRNA from 8 species